UACAGAGGGUGCGAGCGUUAAUCGGAAUUACUGGGCGUAAAGGGCUCGUAGGCGGCCAACUAAGUCCGACGUGAAAUCCCCAGGCUCAACCUGGGAACUGCGUCGGAUACUGGAUGGCUUGAAUUCGGGAGAGGGAUGCAGAAUUCCAGGUGUAGCGGUGAAAUGCGUAGAUAUCUGGAGGAAUACCGGUGGCGAAGGCGGCAUCCUGGACCGACAUUGACGCUGAUGAGCGAAAGCUAGGGGAGCAAACGGG
rnacentral:rRNA from 1 species